GAUUAACGCUGGCGGCGUGCCUAACACAUGCAAGUCGAGCGGCAGCGAGUUUUACACUGAAUUCUGGAAGCUUCUAGUUGAAAGAGAAGAUUUAUUCAAGAAUUUUGUGUAAAAUGUCGGCGAGCGGCGGACGGCUGAGUAACGCGUGGGAACGUACCCCAAAGUGAGGGAUAACGCAUCGAAAGGUGUGCUAAUACCGCAUAUGGUCUUCGGAUUAAAGCCUUCGGGCGCUUUGGGAACGGCCUGCGUAAGAUUAGAUAGUUGGUGGGGUAAUGGCCUACCAAGUCGACGAUCUUUAACUGGUUUGAGAGGAUGAUCAGUCAGACUGGAACUGAGACACGGUCCAGACUCCUACGGGAGGCAGCAGUGAGGAAUCUUCCACAAUGGGCGAAAGCCUGAUGGAGCAACGCCGCGUGCAGGAUGAAGGCCUUCGGGUUGUAAACUGCUUUUAUAAGUGAGGAAUAUGACAGUAACUUAUGAAUAAGGAUCGGCUAACUACGUG
rnacentral:rRNA from 1 species